rnacentral:sRNA from 1 species
ACUCCCUGAUUGGCUCUGCACUGGAGGCAGUGAUUUUGGGGCAGAGAAUUUUGCAACACGUGGUAGUGAACUGUGAGGAGUUUGAGGGGUCUGAAGACUGAAGGAGUCGAAUGGUUUGUUGGCAGGACCUAGAAGAAUCCCUUAGGAUGAAGCUGAGUCUUACCAAGGUAGUUAAUGGCUGUCGCCUAGGAAAAAUAAAAAACCUGGGCAAAACAGGGGACCACACCAUGGAUAUUCCAGGCUGCCUUCUGUAUACCAAGACUGGCUCCGCCCCACACCUCACCCAUCACACGCUGCAUAAUAUCCACAGGGUUCCUGCCAUGGCUCAGCUUACGCUGUCAUCCCUAGCAGAACAUCAUGAAGUCUUGACAGAAUAUAAAGAAGGAGUUGGAAAGUUUAUAGUCUGUGUCUGUGUGGAGUGUUGCAGGACGAGUGGAAAUGACUGUUUCCAAGUUCAUGGCAAUUCAGAAGGCCCUUCAGCCAGACUGGUUCCAGUGCCUCUCCGAUGGAGAAGUAUCUUGUAAGGAAGCAACUUCCAUAAAAAGGGUCAGAAAGUCUGUUGACCGAUCACUUCUUUUCUUGG